rnacentral:lncRNA from 1 species
UUUCUUUGCACUGAAGUUGACUUCCAGUAACCAACUUAAGUUCUCUUGGAAGUAAAAAGCAGAGGCCACUCUCCUUAACCCCUCUGGAAAAUGAAACACAGCUAAAUACAUUGAUGCUCACCUGCAUUUUAUUCCUAUCAUCGAAGGUGGGGAGCACAGAGUCAGAAUGUUAACAUCUGCAAGGUUUGGGCGAACAGCAGGUACAACUUUUUUGUUAUAGACAACAAACUGGGUCCAGAAGAGAAUGAGGAAUUUGCCUCGAAUGACCUAGAUGGCCACUCAAAGGGAGGGAUCACUCGAUGAAGUUCCAACCUUCUUGCACAUUAAG